rnacentral:misc_RNA from 1 species
AUGAAUUUGAAAUAUCGUAAAGACCUUGCUUUUACCGUGGCAUCUUUCUAUCUAAGGGUCGUUGGCUUUUGGUUAACCACCAGUCGCCUGGAAGAAUGGUUCAGAAUUGGCGUGGUCGGGUAUACUAUACUUGCGAUCACAUUCUCUGCAUGGGUUCAAAUAAGAGGACUUUAUUUCAAUUGGGGAGACUUUAGCGCCUGUACUUACAUCGCAUGCGAUGGUUUGGGACUCGUCAUGGAUUUCUUCAAAAUUUUCAGCCUAUUCAUAUAUCAGAAAAAGUUUCUUGGUUUAAUGACAUACAUGCAGAAAAAUUUCUGGCAUUACGACUACGAUGAAGAGGAAAACUUAAUCGUGAAAGAUACGAAGAGAAUAACCGCGUAUUUCGUCUGCAUUCUCACAUUUUCUUCUUUAUCUUCGAUUUUCAUGUAUAUGUUCAGACCAUUGUUGACAAAUAUUGGAAGAAACGAAACAGAUAGGAUACUUAUAUUUAACAUGUAUCUGGACCUGCCAUUGUCUAUUUCACCGUAUUAUGAAAUUGCAUACACGAUACAGAUCGCUGCUUUAAACCAGGCUGGCAGUUGUUACUUUUGCUUCGACAAUAUAUUUUGCAUCUUGUGCCUGAACGUAGCUUGCCAGUUUCGUAUAUUACAAUACAGAAUAGCCAAUGUGCCAAUUUUAAAAAUGAAAGAAAACCUCGACACGAGGAAAAAUUUUUCAGACGAGUGUUACAACGCGUUUAAAAAUUACAUUCAACAGCAUCAAGCUCUCCUCGACUUCUGCGAAACCCUCGAAGAGAUAUUCACAAUAAUCGUGAUCGGGCAAAUAUUAAUGUUCAGUAUAUUAUUCUGUUUCCUUGGAUAUCAAGUGAUCUUGGCAGAUCUCACCCCCUCUUAUCGCAUCUCCUUCAUAUGUUACCUAUUCGCCGGUAUGUGCCAGUUGUGGAUGUUCACGUACAGUUGCGAUUGCAUAACGCAAGAAAGCGCGAAAAUAGCUUCGGCCGUGUAUACCUCACCAUGGAUGAAUCUACCGAUGGAUAAGUUUGGGAAAAUGUUACGACAAGAUUUGCAAAUUGUCGUCAUGAGGGCAAGAAAAGCUUGUUGCCUGACCGCGUGCGGUUUCUUUCCCAUAUCCCUUGAGACUUACACCAAAAUCAUGAGUACCACAAUGUCAUAUUUCACUUUGCUGAAACAACGAACAGUAGACACAUAAUUCCUCCAGUUUUCAAUUACGCGAGUUUACCAAAUAUCCUGUUAUAUAAAUCAAAUGUGCAUAAUUUUAAUCAAUUCUAUACUAUGUUAUUCAAUGACAAUAACGUAUAAUGGACUGAUUUAAAAAUUUCAAGUAAGUUUUUGAGUAAGUAAAUUUCAUUAAUUAACAAAUUAAUUAAAAUUUUGUCUUGUAAUACAUUCAAAAUUAUUUUUUUAAUUUCAUUAUUUUUUAAACUAUUAUAUUUAUUUUACAAAGCAAAAUUUUUACAUUAUUGUAUUUCACUUACUGUUAAAUAAGACACCAUGUUAAAAUAAAAUACUCUAUAUCUUUAUAAAAUAAAGGCACACAGAGCAAAUAUCGAUUAUUUUAUUAUAAUAUAAUAAUGAGUAUUUUAUUGCAAUACAAAAGUUGUUCAAAUAUUAUAUUGUGAAUAUCAAUUCUAAAAAUCAAAACGUAAAAAUUGAUAUAAAAAAAUAUCUAUUGAAGCUUAUUCAAGUUUGCUUUGGACAAAAUGAAAAGGUAUAACAGAAAGAUCUCUAUCUCUAUCUUCCUUCCUCUAAAAUUGUUUAUAACUCAAUGAAUAAGUUUCAAUCGAUAUUUUUACGUCUUCUAGAAUCCUUUAGAAUCGAUCUUUCAAAAGUGAAUUCCAUGAAUAUCCUAUACAUACUUAUACUAAUGAUUAAUUAUAAAUCACAUAAUUGACUAUCAUCAUCACACAAUUUGAUAUUUUGCCAAUUUUAAAGCAGAGAGGCUUUCAGAAAAUUAUGUAAUCACAAUUAAAAGUUUAAUUUUAAAUUAUGUCACAUUAUUGCAUAACAUAUGAUUGCAUCUUACACACGUUGAAA